rnacentral:rRNA from 1 species
GACGAACGCUGGCGGCGUGCCUAACACAUGCAAGUCGAGCGAGGGGAGUUUCUUCGGAAACAAACCUAGCGGCGGACGGGUGAGUAACACGUGGGCAACCUGCCUUAUAGUGGGGAAUAGCCUCUCGAAAGGGAGAUUAAUACCGCAUAACAUUACACUUUCGCAUGAGAGAGUAAUUAAAGGAGCAAUCCGCUAUAAGAUGGGCCCGCGGCGCAUUAGCUAGUUGGUGAGGUAACGGCUCACCAAGGCGACGAUGCGUAGCCGACCUGAGAGGGUGAUCGGCCACAUUGGGACUGAGACACGGCCCAGACUCCUACGGGAGGCAGCAGUGGGGAAUAUUGCACAAUGGGGGAAACCCUGAUGCAGCAACGCCGCGUGAGUGAUGAAGGUCUUCGGAUCGUAAAGCUCUGUCUUCAGGGACGAUAAUGACGGUACCUGAGGAGGAAGCCACGGCUAACUACGUGCCAGCAGCCGCGGUAA